UACGAAGGGGGCUAGCGUUGCUCGGAAUCACUGGGCGUAAAGCGCACGUAGGCGGCUUCUUAAGUCAGGGGUGAAAUCCUGGAGCUCAACUCCAGAACUGCCUUUGAUACUGGGAGGCUCGAGUCCGGGAGAGGUGAGUGGAACUGCGAGUGUAGAGGUGAAAUUCGUAGAUAUUCGCAAGAACACCGGUGGCGAAGGCGGCAUCCUGGACCAAUAUUGACGCUGAGGAGCGAAAGCCAGGGGAGCAAACGGG
rnacentral:rRNA from 1 species